ensembl:snRNA U6 U6 spliceosomal RNA
GUGCUGACUUCGGCAGCAGAUGCACUAAAAUUGUAAUGAUACAGAGAAGAGUACCAUGGCCCCUGCACAAAGAUAACAUGCAAUUUUGUGAAGGAUUCCAUAUUUAA